CCACCACUUAAAUGUGGGUGUUCUUGCUUUGAAAUUAAAAAAGAAAGUACUUCCAUACUUUAGAGAUGG
rnacentral:pre_miRNA from 1 species